rnacentral:rRNA from 1 species
GACGAACGCUGGCGGCGUGCUUAACACAUGCAAGUCGAACGGAAAGGCCCUGCUUUUGUGGGGUGCUCGAGUGGCGAACGGGUGAGUAACACGUGAGUAACCUGCCCUUGACUUUGGGAUAACUUCAGGAAACUGGGGCUAAUACCGGAUAGGAGCUCCUGCUGCAUGGUGGGGGUUGGAAAGUUUCGGCGGUUGGGGAUGGACUCGCGGCUUAUCAGCUUGUUGGUGGGGUAGUGGCUUACCAAGGCUUUGACGGGUAGCCGGCCUGAGAGGGUGACCGGCCACAAUGGGACUGAGAUACGGCCCAGACUCCUACGGGAGGCAGCAGUGGGGAAUAUUGCACAAUGGGCGGAAGCCUGAUGCAGCAACGCCGCGUGCGGGAUGACGGCCUUCGGGUUGUAAACCGCUUUCGCCUGUGACGAAGCGUGAGUGACGGUAAUGGGUAAAGAAGCAACGGCUAACUACGUG